rnacentral:rRNA from 1 species
AGCGAACGCUGGCGGCAGGCUUAACACAUGCAAGUCGAACGGGCACUUCGGUGCUAGUGGCAGACGGGUGAGUAACAUGUGGGAACGUACCUUUCGGUUCGGAAUAAUUCAGGGAAACUUGGACUAAUACCGGAUACGCCCUUUUGGGGAAAGAUUUAUCGCCGAUAGAUCGGCCCGCGUCUGAUUAGCUAGUUGGGGAGGUAAAGGCUCACCAAGGCGACGAUCAGUAGCUGGUCUGAGAGGAUGAUCAGCCACAUUGGGACUGAGACACGGCCCAAACUCCUACGGGAGGCAGCAGUGGGGAAUAUUGGACAAUGGGCGCAAGCCUGAUCCAGCCAUGCCGCGUGAGUGAUGAAGGCCCUAGGGUUGUAAAGCUCUUUUGUCCGGGAAGAUAAUGACUGUACCGGAAGAAUAAGCCCCGGCUAACUUCGUGCCAGCAGCCGCAGUAACAC